rnacentral:misc_RNA from 1 species
AAGUCGUAACAAGGUUUCCGUAGGUGAACCUGCGGAAGGAUCAUUAACAAACGCAGAGCUUUAUUGCUCGCAACCUUUGUGAAUUGGCUCUCUCACUGAAACUUUUAAAAAAGUUUUGGGUGCAGAUCUAGCUUAGCUUAAGAGCAUUUGAGUGCAGCUUCGGCGACAGUCAAUUGUCUACUAGUCUAGUAAAGCAAGAGAGUUUGCUGGGCGUCCCAAAUGAUAGUGCUGAACUCUCUAUUGUUAAUCAAUAGAAGGGGAAGCCUGUCACCUUAAAAUAGUCUGAUAUUAAUUAAAACGAAAGUUUUAGUAAACAUUAUAUUAUACAACUUUUAACAAUGGAUCUCUAGGCUCUU